rnacentral:rRNA from 1 species
GACGAACGCUGGCGGCGUGCCUAAUACAUGCAAGUCGAACGCAGUGGGGACGGGUGAGUAACCCGUCUGUAACCUCCCAUCAGAGGGGAUACCACUUGGAAACAGGUGCUAAACCGAUACUGUUGGCUGGACCCUCGGUGCAUUAGCUCGGUGGUCAGGUAACGGGUCACCAAGGCCACGAUGCAUAGCCGGACUGAGAGGGUGAGCGGACACACUGGGACUGAGACACGGCCCAGACUCCUACGGGAGGCAGCAGUAGGGAAUAUUCGGCAAUGGACGAAAGUCUGACCGAGCAACGCCGCGUGAGUGAAGAAGGUUUUCGGAUCGUAAAACUCUGUUGUUAGAGAAGCGGUAUCUAACCAGAAAGCAACGGCUAACUACGUGCCAGCAGCCGCGGUAAUUC